AAGAUUUAUAACAUUUUAUCUCUUUUUUGUUCUAUUUUUCUUUUUCUUUUUUUCUUUUGGUUUUGCUAUGUUUUGUUUUUGCAGCAUUUCCAAAUCCUAUAAUGUUUUGGAGAGAUAAAUCCUUCCAACAAGUUAAUCCCAUUAGAGAAAGGUACAACUCCUAGAAUGGAUGCAACAUGCACUAAAGAAAUUUCGAAUCAAUGAAUUAUGUGUUAUUUUGUCUUGCAUU